rnacentral:pre_miRNA from 7 species
CUCAUAGCUUUCUGUCAGGAGGCUUCAGUGAAAGAACCUAGUGGGGAAACCCCCACUCAGCACCCGAUUCGGUGUGUACCCAAGAAUCACGAAUAGAACA